GCGAAAUUGGCGGAAGUGGUAGACGCGGUGGUUUUAGGAACCAUUCUAUUAAGGUGCAGGUUCAAGUCCUGUGUUUCGCA
rnacentral:tRNA from 4 species